rnacentral:lncRNA from 1 species
ACCGGAAGCCCCACAAGCGACUUGAGCCCUUCCCUCAGCAGCUCAGACUCAAAAGCAAGAACAUCUGCUCAGGCCUCCUCAGUUUUCACAUUUGUGCUUGGUGCGGAGUAAGAGUUAAAUCCUGAAUCCUGUCAGACAGACAUCUGUUGCCCCGGUAACACCCUGCAGCUGCCAGGAGGGAAGAAGAGAGGCUGCUUUCAAGCACCGAGCCCCCUCCUCAAGUUUCCAGCUAGCUGUUGGUGUCUUGGUUUUCCUUCUGGAAAGAGAGCUCCACUUGGGUAUGGGAUCCUGAUUCCUGGAUCUGCAUCAGCCUCUACCCUUGGGAUCUCUGCUGGCCAAGGUAGGAAGGGCUGCCUCUCAGUGGGAUGAGCGCCCUCUCCUAUGACCCUCUCAGUGGGGUGAGCGUCCUCUCCUAUUACCCUCUCAGUGGGGUGAGCGCCCUCUCCUGUGAUCCUCUCAGUGGGGUGAGCG